UACGUAGGGUGCGAGCGUUGUCCGGAAUUAUUGGGCGUAAAGGGCUCGUAGGCGGUUUGUCGCGUCGGGAGUGAAAUCCACUGGCUUAACUGGUGGCUUGCUUUCGAUACGGGCAGACUGGAGGUAUGCAGGGGAGAACGGAAUUCCUGGUGUAGCGGUGAAAUGCGCAGAUAUCAGGAGGAACACCGGUGGCGAAGGCGGUUCUCUGGGCCGAAAUUGACGCUGAGGAGCGAAAGCGUGGGGAGCGAACAGG
rnacentral:rRNA from 1 species